ACCCUUGGUCAGGUUGAAGUUCAGGUAACACUGAAUGGAGGACCGAACCGACUUACGUUGAAAAGUGAGCGGAUGAACUGAGGGUAGCGGAGAAAUUCCAAUCGAACCUGGAGAUAGCUGGUUCUCUCCGAAAUAGCUUUAGGGCUAGCCUCAAGUGAUGAUUAUUGGAGGUAGAGCACUGUUUGGACGAGGGGCCCCUCUCGGGUUACCGAAUUCAGACAAACUCCGAAUGCCAAUUAAUUUAACUUGGGAGUCAGAACAUGGGUGAUAAGGUCCGUGUUCGAAAGGGAAACAGCCCAGACCACCAGCUAAGGUCCCAAAAUAUAUGUUAAGUGGAAAAGGAUGUGGCGUUGCCCAGACAACUAGGAUGUUGGCUUAGAAGCAGCCAUCAUUUAAAGAGUGCGUAAUAGCUCACUAGUCGAGUGACACUGCGCCGAAAAUGUACCGGGGCUAAACAUAUUACCGAAGCUGUGGAUUGUCCUUUGGACAAUGGUAGGAGAGCGUUCUAAGGGCGUUGAAGCAUGAUCGUAAGGACAUGUGGAGCGCUUAGAAGUGAGAAUGCCGGUGUGAGUAGCGAAAGACGGGUGAGAAUCCCGUCCACCGAUUGACUAAGGUUUCCAGAGGAAGGCUCGUCCGCUCUGGGUUAGUCGGGUCCUAAGCUGAGGCCGACAGGCGUAGGCGAUGGAUAACAGGUUGAUAUUCCUGUACCACCUAUAAUCGUUUUAAUCGAUGGGGG
rnacentral:rRNA from 1 species